GGAAGGAUCCAUUCCAGGCCUCUCUCCUGGCAGCUGGAAGCUCCUUGACUUAUGGUCGCAUAAAUCCAAUCUUCACAUAGUGUUCCCCCGUCUGUCCCCUUUUUAAGGACACCAGUCAUAUUGGAUUAGGGCCCGUGCUAAUGACCUCAUCUUAACUUGAUUACCUCUGUAAAGAGCCCAUCUCCAAAUAAGGUCACGUUCAAAGGGACCUGGGGGUUAGGACUCCAAGUAGCUUUUUUGGGAGGAUACAGUUCAACCCAUAACAGCUGAGAAAUGGCAGAACCCAGGCAUCUGUGUCAGACCCAAAGGCACUGUCCUUUGGAGGGAGGAAGAUCAUGUAAAUUAAGAACCCAGACUUUCCAGCCAGGCUGCAAGAGUCCAAAUUUCAGGUCCAGAUCAAUAACCAGUGUGGGUACCAUGCAGACAUUUAAAACUGUACUAUGAGCCAGAUACCAAAAAAGAGACUUGCAGAGGAUCCCCAGGCGCAGAGAUGACGAGACUAACAUCGAGGUGGGGUACUGUUCCCAGAAGGAGAACACGACAAACAUCACCACCUACUUGGAGUCAAAUCAGGAAGCUUUCACAAACAGUGGAGGAAAACCUGGAGAAAGCAGGACAGCCUCUAUGGUAAUCAUGAUACGGCUAUCACCAUUAAAACCUAAAGAAAGCAGGACAGCCUCUAUGGUAAUCAUGAUACGGUUAUCACCAUUAAAACCUGGAGAAAGCAGGACAGCCUCUAUGGUAAUCAUGAUACGGUUAUCACCAUUAAAACCUGGAGAAAGCAGGACAGCCUCUAUGGUAAUCACGAUGACGGUUAUCACCAUUAAAACCUAA
rnacentral:lncRNA from 13 species